AGAGUUUGAUCCUGGCUCAGAUUGAACGCUGGCGGCAUGCUUUACACAUGCAAGUCGAACGGCAGCACGAAAGAGCUUGCUCUUUUGGUGGCGAGUGGCGAACGGGUGAGUAAUGCAUCGGAACGUACCGAGUAAUGGGGGAUAACUAUCCGAAAGGAUAGCUAAUACCGCAUACGCUUUGAGAAGGAAAGUGGGGGCUCUUCGGACCUCACGUUAUUCGAGCGGCCGAUGUCUGAUUAGCUAGUUGGUGGGGUAAAGGCCUACCAAGGCGACGAUCAGUAGCGGGUCUGAGAGGAUGAUCCGCCACACUGGGACUGAGACACGGCCCAGACUCCUACGGGAGGCAGCAGUGGGGAAUUUUGGACAAUGGGCGCAAGCCUGAUCCAGCCAUGCCGCGUGUCUGAAGAAGGCCUUCGGGUUGUAAAGGACUUUUGUUAGGGAAGAAAAAGGAGCGGUUAAUACCCGUUUCUGCUGACGGUACCUAAAGAAUAAGCACCGGCUAACUACGUGCCAGCAGCCGCGGUAAUACGUAGGGUGCGAGCGUUAAUCGGAAUUACUGGGCGUAAAGCGAGCGCAGACGGUUACUUAAGCAGGAUGUGAAAUCCCCGGGCUCAACCUGGGAACUGCGUUCUGAACUGGGUAGCUAGAGUAUGUCAGAGGGGGGUAGAAUUCCACGUGUAGCAGUGAAAUGCGUAGAGAUGUGGAGGAAUACCGAUGGCGAAGGCAGCCCCCUGGGAUAAUACUGACGUUCAUGCUCGAAAGCGUGGGUAGCAAACAGGAUUAGAUACCCUGGUAGUCCACGCCCUAAACGAUGUCGAUUAGCUGUUGGGCAGCAUGACUGCUUAGUAGCGAAGCUAACGCGUGAAAUCGACCGCCUGGGGAGUACGGUCGCAAGAUUAAAACUCAAAGGAAUUGACGGGGACC
rnacentral:rRNA from 1 species